GGCCGCGCGGGUCACGUGACGCCACGUGCGUCUGCCAGCGGGCGGCGGGAGCGUGCGCGGCUGCACCCAUGGGUGGCAGUUGGGGUGAGGCUGCUCCUUGGGGUCGUGGCCAUCCAGUGCCAUCAAGGGUCCCAGGCGGUGUCUGCCAUCUACUGAGGCCAGGUGGACGGCCCACGACUGCUCCGCAGCAGAUGAUCUGUAAGAUGGCCUGGUCAAGGCUUCUAGCAGACUCGGAUCUCUCUCUUCAGUCCAAGUGCAAAUGCUGAACACACCAGUCUCCUGGGGCUGCCGUCGGGACACUGUCGCUUCCAUGUAACUGAUGGGCUACCUUGUCACGUGCCAUUGCUGGGGGUUAUGUCAGACCCUUCACAGUUCCUGAAAGCACAGCCUCCCAACCCCCAACAGACUCUGCCCUGUGUUCCUGCUCCAGCUUCAGCAGCAGAAAUCCCAGGAUGUGAGAGCUAGAAGACACCUGAGAGAUGAUCCCUUCCAAGGACGACAGGUUCUUCUGGGGACUCUGCAGUGGUUUCGGUGCCGUGUUGUCUGCUUCCAGAACAAGGAUCUUCACUGUACAUCAGGACCCAGGCCCCUCUGACAUCUCCUGAAUGAGAAACAAGGGAUUUAAUAAAACGGUGUAAAAUUUGUA